rnacentral:tRNA from 1 species
UAGGUGGCAAGCUGUAGUCUUGUUCACGGGGCCGCGCCCCCCCCA